AAAACGGCCCUUUUCAGGGCCACAAUUCAUUGCAUUGAGAGUUUAA
rfam:Phlebotomus papatasi Contig4502.2, whole genome shotgun sequence.